rnacentral:lncRNA from 1 species
AUUUUAUUUUCAAGAUAAGAAAUUCAGUUACUCAAUAUAUAAUAUCUUAAAUUAUUUUUUAAAAAAUAUACAUAAUUUAUAUAUAUAGAUUAAUCUUCCAAACUUAAACUAUUAUAUUAUAUAUGAAUAAUUUUUUUAAAUAAAAACAAUUUCUGAUUAAAAUAAAUAAAUAAAAAAACAAAUGGUUAAACAUCAAUAUCAUCUAGGUUAAGU